GAUGAAGAACGCAGCGAAAUGCGAUAAGUAAUGUGAAUUGCAGAAUUCAGUGAAUCAUCGAAUCUUUGAACGCACAUUGCGCCCGCCAGUAUUCUGGCGGGCAUGCCUGUUCGAGCGUCAUUUCAACCAUCAAGCCCCCGGCUUGUGUUGGGGACCUGCGGCUGCCGCAGGCCCUGAAAUGCAGUGGCGGGCUCGCUGUCACUCCGAGCGUAGUAGUUACAUCUCGCUCUGGGCGUGCUGCGGGUUCCGGCCGUUAAAAGCCUUAUUUACCCAAGGUUGACCUCGGAUCAGGUAGGAAGACCCGCUGAACUUAAGCAUACAAUAAGCGGAGGA
rnacentral:misc_RNA from 1 species